rnacentral:rRNA from 1 species
ACGCUGGCGGCAGGCCUAACACAUGCAAGUCGAGCGGUAGAGAGAAGCUUGCUUCUCUUGAGAGCGGCGGACGGGUGAGUAAUGCCUAGGAAUCUGCCUGGUAGUGGGGGAUAACGUUCGGAAACGGACGCUAAUACCGCAUACGUCCUACGGGAGAAAGCAGGGGACCUUCGGGCCUUGCGCUAUCAGAUGAGCCUAGGUCGGAUUAGCUAGUUGGUGGGGUAAUGGCUCACCAAGGCAACGAUCCGUAACUGGUCUGAGAGGAUGAUCAGUCACACUGGAACUGAGACACGGUCCAGACUCCUACGGGAGGCAGCAGUGGGGAAUAUUGGACAAUGGCCGAAAGCCUGAUCCAGCCAUGCCGCGUGUGUGAAGAAGGUCUUCGGAUUGUAAAGCACUUUAAGUUGGGAGGAAGGGCUGUUACCUAAUACGUGAUGGUUUUGACGUUACCGACAGAAUAAGCACCGGCUAACUCUGUGCCAGCAGCCGCGGUAAUACAGAGGGUGCAAGCGUUAAUCGGAAUUACUGGGCGUAAAGCGCGCGUAGGUGGUUUGUUAAGUUGGAUGUGAAAUCCCCGGGCUCAACCUGUGAACUGCAUUCAAAACUGACUGACUAGAGUAUGGUAGAGGGUGGUGGAAUUUCCUGUGUAGCGGUGAAAUGCGUAGAUAUAGGAAGGAACACCAGUGGCGAAGGCGACCACCUGGACUGAUACUGACACUGAGGUGCGAAAGCGUGGGGAGCAAAC